rnacentral:lncRNA from 1 species
GGCGGGUCCGGCUCCCGGGAUCCAGGAGCGGAGAAAGGGAGCUGGCCAGGAGCGGCCCAGGUCUAGGCGCCCACACGAGGGUGGGACCCUGGGAGGACUCUGCCGCCGCCUUGGAGCCUCGGUCCCGGGCUGCCUGUCCCCUGGAACCGCCAGGGCGGUCCCCACAGCGCCCACCGCCCGACCCCGCUGUCCCGGUUCUCAGCUGAGGGCUUUCCUCAGUGGAGCUGCUGUUCACAGCUGGGUGGGUUUUGAUUUGCAGGGUCCUGUUCAGGAUGCGGUGGCCUCAGCAAAGUGGCCUGGGCCGCGGACCUCAGAGGAGAAGAGGUGGCCUGACCCGCAGGCCCCCUGGAGAGUGGGAGGGCGACUGAGGAGCCCAGUGUGACCUGGGGAGCAGGAGGCCGGUUUAAAAGAGAGACCCGCCCAGGUAUUUCAGGUCUCACUGACUCUGUGUCCUUUUGUUUUCCUGUCGCACCUGUGAAUUUUGUUUUAAGUCCUCGCUUUAAAAACCCUUUCCUGAUUCCUUCUGUGUACCUGACCCAUCAUUUUAAAUCAUGUUCCAAGGUCACUUUUUGGUUUAUGUGUGGUUCUGGGGAUUGAACCCAGGUCCUUGAGCCUGUUAGGCAAGUGACCUACCUGAGCUACACCCUCAGAGACCCCUGUAAUUUUUUCCCCCUUGGCCACAAGGUCUAAUUGCCAAGGCUGACCUCAAAGGUUCCUCUUCCUCAGCCUCCCUGGUGGCUGGCAUGACAGGCAUGCACCUGGGACUGUCACACUCUAGCCUGUGAUGGGAACUCAUGUGCAUCUGUCCAGGGCUGAGCAUGGUUAUGCAGAGCUGUGCUCCAGGCUCCCUGCAGGGCUGUGGAGGCUUCUGCUGCCCAGCAGCCCUGGUGCCAUGGCCAGUGCUCCUCCCAGCCGAGGGCAGGCAGCUGCCCAUUGCUGUAGGCUGACCUUAUUUUCUUCUUUUUGUACAUGUAACUUUAUCUGAAGUAUGUUGGAUUGUUUUUCAAUUAUGAAACUAACAGGUCCUCUAGAACCUUCAAACAAUUAGUACAAUUCCUAAAGAGUAAGUGAGCAUGCGCAGAAAUUGGGCUAAUGUUUUGGGAAGAAUGAUGUUAGAUGAUAUUUUCAUGGCUUGAGUAUAUCAUCCAACAUGAAGUUACAUUUUAUUACUUACAAAAUAAUAAAAUAAUGAAGCAAUACCAUGGACUGAGCCAAAAUAUAUCCUCAGGAUCUUAGGCAUACUGUAAUAAAUCUGCAUCACUUUGGGUCAUUCCCCUCAUAUUUCCUUUGAGAUAUUUUCUAUGUGAGGCUUAAGAAGAACAGAAUAUUCUAUAAAGAAAACCUUGUGAUCUGUGCAGUAUAAAAUUGAAUGGGUUCAUUCAGAAAUCAGAAAUUCUAUUGAAAGGUAUUUGCCUGAGCCAAAUAAAACCUAUUUCUAGGUGUCCUGGUGAAGACAAGCUUUUAUCUUUAUAUGUCUCAUUGUCUGUGGGUUUGUUGUUGUUGUUGUUAGAAUGAAAUUCAUAAGUUGGCAAACCAUUUUAUCAGAUGUGUAACUAGAUGCCAUUGAAAUUAUCCACUUUUAAAUGGUAGACAUUUUGUAUAUGAACACUGCCUGUCUGCACCUUUUUUAAAAAUAGGUCUGGGCUCAGGAGCCCAAAUACCAAUGGUUAUCUGGAACAUAUUCUUCAGUUUGGCCUAUCCGCCAAUAUGCCCUGAGGUCAUCUGUUCUAUCAUCUUCAUUACCCCUGCUCCCUCACUAGCUUUCAUAGAACCCACAUGCUGUCUAUGAGUCAGGGUCACCAAUCCCACAACAUUUCGUUUGAGUAUCCAAAGUCCCACGUUUCACUUCGCCAUGCCUGACAUAGGCAGUAAUAUUUAUCAGGAAAUGUGAAAUUUUCAAAGAUCCAAUUCUAUGUGCUCCUUUCUCAAAGGGCAUUAGGCAGGGAUAUAGCAUACAUAAAUAUUAAGUAAAGACCAUAGUUUUAAAAAGUCAUAGAUACUUUUUAUUUUGGAGGAGGUAUGAUUUAAUAGGGAAUUCCAAUAGCUACGUAAUAGUGAAAUGGUAAGUCUUCCAUCCAUUUUAUUUUAUUGUUUCUGAUGAUUUUUAUGAGUAAGGAUAAUAUACUUCCUUGUUCCAAUGCAGAUGUUGCCCACUUCUGUGAAUGGAUGCACGGUGUCACCUGCUACUUGGAUGUCUGCAUGUUGUGCUUGACACUAAUAUCGUACUUGGUAGGUGGCAGAAAGUCAAUACUGAAGUUAAGCUCUUGUGUUCUAGCAGCUGUGCUGAAGAUCCUUG